rnacentral:rRNA from 1 species
CAGUCGCCGCGGGAAAACGUAGGUGGCAAGCGUUGUCCGGAAUUAUUGGGCGUAAAGGGCUCGCAGGCGGUUUCUUAAGUCUGAUGUGAAAGCCCCCGGCUCAACCGGGGAGGGUCAUUGGAAGCUGGGAAACUUGAGUGCAGAAGAGGAGAGUGGAAUUCCACGUGUAGCGGUGAAAUGCGUGGAGAUGUGGAGGAACACCAGUGGCGAAGGCGACUCUCUGGUCUGUAGCUGACGCUGAGGAGCGAAAGCGUGGGGAGCGAACAGGAUUAGAUACCCCGGUAGUCCCUGUCUCUUAUAC